rnacentral:misc_RNA from 1 species
AAAGUCGUAACAAGGUCUCCGUUGGUGAACCAGCGGAGGGAUCAUUACCGAGUUCUUACAGAACCCAACCCUUGUGUGAUAAGCUCUCACCCAGCUUUUACACCUGAGAGUCUCGGCCUACAGGCAGGCAGCGCCAGCUAUGGAUCGCCGAGGCAGUGUAAAAAUAAUAACCUCUGUAUCAUUAUCACAAAUUUCUGAAGACUUUUUUUUUUAACAAGUCAAAACUUUCAACAACGGAUCUCUUGGUUCUG